UUGAGCUGCGUGAAUGGGGCGAAGCCCGACCUCCAACCCUUUUGUGAACCAACCCUGGUUGCUUCGGGGGCGACCCCGCCGUUUUCGGCGACGGCGCCCCCGGAGGUCAUCAAACACUGCAUCUUUGCGUCGGAGUCUUAAAGUAAAUUUAAACAAAACUUUCAACAACGGAUCUCUUGGUUCUGGCAUCGAUGAAGAACG
rnacentral:rRNA from 1 species